CUUAUUUAGACACGGAGGGAGUAUAAGGGUAUUAUAGUCACUUUCACUUACUAACAUUUGAUUUUUAACUUUAUCAUUUAAUCAUAUACAAUGUUUAAUUAUAUAGAUUAUUAUAAUUACUCACAAAAAAAAAUAAAUUAAAAAAUCAUGUAAUAUGUGAACUUUAUAACAAAUAAAAUAAUUACUCAACUACCUUAUUUAUCAAAUCACUGUAGAACUUCUUUGUAUUUUUUUUCUUUUUUCGGACAAUCUUCUUUGUAUCUUGGUUUCAUCUUUUUUACACCCACCCAAGUAAUGAAGGGACUUACUCCACAUUUAUCCAAAAAGAAAAAGAAAAAAAAAAAAAAAAUCAUCAUCCUCAACUUCUCAAGACCUCAACGCCAUAUUCAUUCUCCAAAACCCGCGAAACGGUGAAAUUUUUUUGGCUCUAAUAUUUUUCUACUAUGAAUCAGCAGUUACUCCACGAUCCAGUUGUUGAUCUCACUAUACAGCACACUCAUCUUCUUAAUCGGUUAUAUAUUUCCUUCGUUUCUACUCAGUGGGGUUUGAUGCCACCGAAUAAUUUGUUGUUUUCUGAAUUCUAUUUCUCCAAGUAUGACAAAGAAAAAAAUCAGUAAGCUUGGAGCUAUAGGAGGUUCUGGUGAUCAGCAUCUUAAAACUAAUGAACCAAGAAUUACAGAAUAUGAGAGGCUUAGAUUGGAAAGGAUUAAAGAAAAUAUGUCAAAAAUGCAAGAAUUAGGUUUGAAGGAUAAGGCCAUGUCACUGAUGGCGAUAGUACGAAAUAGUAGAUGCAAUUGUAGUAAGCAUAAAAUGAAUAACAUUUCUGCUGAAGAUGGGCUCUAUAGGCCUAACCAAGAUACUGAUAUGGAGCUUGAGCUUGAUUCCUCUGACGAAGAGUCAUUUAUUCCACAUUCUAAAAGUAAUCUCAAGUCGAGGAAUAUUUAUGAAGUCAUAAUUGGUGCUUAA